UCAGCCGCNCGCGGUAAUACCAGCACCCCGAGUGGUCGGGACGUUUAUUGGGCCUAAAGCAUCCGUAGCCGGUUCUACAAGUCUUCCGUUAAAUCCACCUGCUUAACAGAUGGGCUGCGGAAGAUACUAUAGAGCUAGGAGGCGGGAGAGGCAAGCGGUACUCGAUGGGUAGGGGUAAAAUCCGUUGAUCCAUUGAAGACCACCAGUGGCGAAGGCGGCUUGCCAGAACGCGCUCGACGGUGAGGGAUGAAAGCUGGGGGAGCAAACCGGAUUAGAUACCCGGGUAGUCCCAGCUGUAAACGAUGCAGACUCGGUGAUGAGUUGGCUUAUUGCUAACUCAGUGCCGCAGGGAAGCCGUUAAGUUUGCCGCCUGGGGAGUACGGUCGCAAGACUGAAACUUAAAGGAAUUGGCGGGGGGAGCACA
rnacentral:rRNA from 1 species